rnacentral:tRNA from 1 species
AGAGUUCUUUAAGAUAACAUCCUUUAAAUUUUGCUUUUAAAUAAAUUUUGGUUUUAU